GCGGCGCUGGGCCCCCUUAGCUGGAGUGCAGGCUCCGCCCACCCUUUGGGUCUAACCUCCGCGUUCCAAAGUUCCAGCUCCAGCCCUGCGCACUUGGGGACUUCUGCGUGAGGGUCUCUCGCCCCGGCCACAAAUCCCGAGCCGCACCUCUUAAUCGAGGCUCAGGCGUCCCGAGCGGAUCCCGCUUUCUUUUUUCCCUGUGCUGUUUGCAGUCCCACGGCCUCGCACAGAGAAAGUGCCUGACCCCAAGACCUGUGAUGAGACCGCCUAUUUUGUUUUUGUUAUAUACUAAUAGAUAUAGAUAUAUAGAUACAGUCAAUUAUCUGUAAAAUCGGCCAUGUCUCUGCCACCUGGGUAAAAAGGUGUCUCGAAAUUGGGGGCGGAGUCUCUUUUCUGACCCUACCCAAACGCACACAGAAACAACCCCAACAUUUGCAGAGCCCUUAAGCCUGUACACCCAAUGAGGAAUCGCUGGUUAGAGGCCGCGUGAAGGACACCCUGACCAAGCUGGGUCCUGCCCAUGCCGGUAGAUCGUCCAUGGCUUCCCUUGGGGGCUGCCACCCACUGUAAACCUGAGCAAGUUCCUCUCCUGUUCCGAAGCCUGCCCUGGCAAAGCCCCAGUACAUAUUCCAAUCCUGCUCUAGGUCAGUAUUCCCACUGCACCUGUCUACCCCUCGCCCGCCCCCCGGGUCACCACGCAGGACCCCUUGCACGCUCCCCCCACCACCUUUGCUAUGCAACUCCUCCCCUUUAUCUGCUAGGGAGACUCCUAUGCAUUCAUCAAGGUCCAGCUCAAAUCUGGCCACCCUCAGUGGCUUUUCCUGACGCUCUCAGCAGAACCAAACCUCCAGCUUUGUUAUGUGUUGGUGUUGCAGUACACAGUGAGUGAGUUCUGUUUGUUUUCCAGGGCGGCAAUGAAAGGGUAGUCAUCAGGGACACAUAGGCUCGGGAAACCAACCCCCCUGGGUUCAGAGUGGGCUCGUUGCUAGCUGUGUGCUCCACUGUCUGUGCCUUCAUAUCUAUGGUGCGGGAGUUAAAGGAAUCAAUAGGUGGAAGGUGCAUGUACCAGUGCCUGGCACUGAUGUACAUUCAAUCAAAGUUAGCUACCGUUGCCAGCUUUGCCAAAACGGGGUACUUGGGGGCGAGGAGGAGUGGCUGGAGGCUGGGGUUGGGGUGGCUUCUGGGUUUCUGGUGCUGUUUUAAUCUCGACCUGGGCACUGGUUUUAGUUUGUGAAAAAUCAUUGAGUUGCAUACUUAGAAUAUGUGCACUUUUCCAUAUGUCCAUCAUACAUUAAUAAAAAGUGUUUCUAGAAGUUAGUUGUUUUUCACUAAGAGCAGGACAGCCCUCAUCUCCUUGAGAACAAGAACAAAGCCUGACAUCCCAGCAGCUUGCACAGUGCUGGCGGGGCACGCUGUAAGUGCUCAGCUGAUGGUUGUUGAAUUGCUCUGAAUGGAUUGUGAGCAAGAGACCAGCAGGGGUGGAGGCUGACAGGAGAGACAGCGCCUGCCUCUGUACUCUAAAGUGCCGGGGAACUCGUGGUGAUUUGGAUCCAGUUCAGGCACCUGAAGCCCAGUUAAAGAGAAGGAAUCUUCAGUCUUUUCUCUCUCAGCAGAUACAGCCGGGCACGGUGGCUCACACCUGUAAUCCCAGUACUUUUAGGAGGCUGAGGCAGGAGGAUCACUGGAACCCAGG
rnacentral:lncRNA from 1 species